rnacentral:rRNA from 1 species
UCGCUAGUAAUCGCGGAUCAGCAUGCCGCGGUGAAUACGUUCCCGGGCCUUGUACACACCGCCCGUCACACCAUGAGAGUCGGGAACACCCGAAGUCCGUAGCCUAACCGCGAAGGGGGGCGCGGCCGAAGGUGGGUUCGAUAAUUGGGGUGAAGUCGUAACAAGGUAUC